rnacentral:rRNA from 1 species
AUUGAACGCUGGCGGCAGGCCUAACACAUGCAAGUCGAGCGGAUGACGGGAGCUUGCUCCUUGAUUCAGCGGCGGACGGGUGAGUAAUGCCUAGGAAUCUGCCUGGUAGUGGGGGACAACGUUUCGAAAGGAACGCUAAUACCGCCUACGUCCUACGGGAGAAAGCAGGGGACCUUCGGGCCUUGCGCUAUCAGAUGAGCCUAGGUCGGAUUAGCUUGUUGGUGAGGUAAUGGCUCACCAAGGCGACGAUCCGUAACUGGUCUGAGAGGAUGAUCAGUCACACGGGAACUGAGACACGGUCCAGAGUCCUACGGGAGGGAGCAGUGGGGAAUAGUGGACAAUGGGGGAAAGCCUGAUCCAGCCAGGCCGCGUGUGUGAAGAAGGUCUUCGGAUUGUAAAGAACGUUAAGUGGGGAGGAAGGGUUGUAGAUUAAGACGCUGCAAUUGUGACGUUAACGACAGAAUAAGCACCGGCUAACUCUGUG